CCUACGGGAGGCAGCAGUGAGGAAUAUUGCGCAAUGGAGGAAACUCUGACGCAGCGACGCCGCGUGAAGGAUGAAGGCCCUCUGGGUUGUAAACUUCUGUAGAGAGGGAAGAAUUUCUCGUUUCGCGAGAUUGACGGUACCUCUAAAGUAAGGGUCGGCUAACUACGUGCCAGCAGCCGCGGUAAUA
rnacentral:rRNA from 1 species